rnacentral:lncRNA from 1 species
GGGGACAGGGAUGGAUGGGGAUGGGGACACACUGAGGACAGGGACAUGACAAGGACAGGGAUGGGGACACAAUGGGGACAGGACAGGGCUAGGAUGGGGACAGGGACAGCGAGGACAUGGCCGGGCAGCAGCGUCACCGUGCGCUGGGGCUGUCACCCCCCCGCCACGGCCAUCCGUCCCCACAUGUCCCCAUGCCCAGGAGGGAGCCACCGUCCCCGCGUGUCCCCACACCCUGCUGAGCCCCGCCCAACUCGCCGCAGCCGUGGAGCCGCCCGGUGCUGAUUGUCACUGCAUGUCCUCGUCCCCCCGCAGCUCCAGGGACCUUCUCCGGGCCGUGUCCCCGUGGUGGCCCUCCGUGUCCUGUCCCCAUGCCGCGUCUCUCCGAGCCAUCUCUCUGUGCCGUGUCCCCACGUCAUCGCUCCACGUCGUGUCCCUCGGUGCCACAUCUCCGCGCCAUCCCUCGGUGCUACAUCCCCGUGCCAUGUCCUCACGUGCCGUCCCUCCAUGUCACAUCUCCGUGUCGCAUCUCCAUGCCGUGUCCCUGCACUGUCACAUCUCCACGCUGCAUCCCCAUGUCACGUCUCCAUGCCACAUCCCUGUGUCAUGUCUCCAUGCCAUGUCCCUACAUCUCAUCUCCGUGCCGUGUCCCUACGUCACAUCUCCAUGCCACAUCCCUGCGCUGCAUCACAUCUCCAUGCCACGUCCCUGUGUCACAUCUCCAAGCCACAUCCCUGUGUCACAUUCUCUGAGCCAUGUCCCCACGCUGCGUCACGUCUCCGUGCCACGUCCCCGUGCCACAUCUCCAUACCAUGUCCCCGUGCUGUGUCCCUGCCG